ACGCACGCUGGCGGCGUGCUUAACACAUGCAAGUCGAACGGUGAAGCGCCUUCCUUUUUGGUGGGUGUGGAUGAGUGGCGAACGGGUGAGUAACACGUGAGUAACCUGCCCCCUUCUUCUGGAUAACCGCAUGAAAGUGUGGCUAAUACGGGAUAUUCUGGGUCUGUCGCAUGAUGGGUCUGGGAAAGAUAUUGUUUCGGUGGGGGAUGGGCUCGCGGCCUAUCAGCUUGUUGGUGGGGUGAUGGCCUACCAAGGCGGUGACGGGUAGCCGGCCUGAGAGGGUGGACGGUCACACUGGGACUGAGACACGGCCCAGACUCCUACGGGAGGCAGCAGUGGGGAAUAUUGCACAAUGGGCGCAAGCCUGAUGCAGCGACGCCGCGUGAGAGAUGGAGGCCUGCGGGUUGUGAACCUCUUUCGCCAGUGAAGCAGGCCUGCCUCGUUUGUGGGUGGGUUGACGGUAGCUGGAGAAGAAGCGCCGGCUAACUACGUG
rnacentral:rRNA from 1 species